AGAGUUUGAUCAUGGCUCAGAGCGAACGCUGUCGGCAGGCCUAAUACAUGCAAGUCGAACGCCCCUUCGGGGGAGUGGCGGACGGGUGAGUAACGCGUGGGAACGUGCCCUUUGGUACGGAACAACUGAGGGAAACUUCAGCUAAUACCGUAUGUGCCCUUCGGGGGAAAGAUUUAUCGCCAUUGGAGCGGCCCGCGUUGGAUUAGCUAGUUGGUGGGGUAAAGGCCCACCAAGGCGACGAUCCAUAGCUGGUCUGAGAGGAUGACCAGCCACACUGGGACUGAGACACGGCCCAGACUCCUACGGGAGGCAGCAGUAGGGAAUCUUGGGCAAUGGGCGAAAGCCUGACCCAGCCAUGCCGCGUGAAUGAUGAAGGUCUUAGGAUUGUAAAAUUCUUUCACCGGGGACGAUAAUGACGGUACCCGGAGAAGAAGCCCCGGCUAACUUCGUGCCAGCAGCCGCGGUAAUACGAAGGGGGCUAGCGUUGCUCGGAAUUACUGGGCGUAAAGGGCGCGUAGGCGGAUCGUUAAGUUAGAGGUGAAAGCCCAGGGCUCAACCUUGGAACUGCCUUUGAUACUGGCGAUCUGGAGUACGGGAGAGGUGUGUGGAACUCCGAGUGUAGAGGUGAAAUUCGUAGAUAUUCGAAGAACACCAGUGGCGAAGGCGACACACUGGC
rnacentral:rRNA from 1 species